rnacentral:rRNA from 1 species
UACGGGGGGAGCAAGCGUUGUUCGGAUUUACUGGGCGUAAAGGGCGCGUAGGCGGCCACCGCAAGUCGACUGUGAAAUCUCCGGGCUUAACCCGGAAAGGUCAGCCGAUACUGCGGGGCUAGAGUGCAGAAGGGGCAACUGGAAUUCUCGGUGUAGCAGUGAAAUGCGUAGAUAUCGAGAGGAACACCAGUGGCGAAGGCGAGUCCCUGGACAACACCUGACACUGAGGCACGAAAGCUAGGGGAGCAAACAGG